UUGAUGUGUUUAGACCAUGGUGGUAAUCGAAGAAUUAUCUACUGCUAUUAAAUUAUCUAAUUAUCUAAUUAUCUAUGCUUCUUGUUAGAUGAUGACGCCGCAGCAGUUGGUACGGUGGAGGUGGGCCCCAGAACUGAGAUGCAGCCGGGUAGUAGUGGUGGAAGAGGGGCAACAGGCGGCAGGAAUCAUCAAGUCCAAUAUUCGGGGCCGGUGUCUUCGGAGGAGGAGAACGACUUGGAGGCGUUGUUUGUUAAGGUGAAACGUGUCCGGAA